CCUGUUGGGAUGAAUACUAAAAGGUGGCUGUUAGCUGUCUAGUCAAGGGGAGCUAAUACUGGGAUACAAACAGCCCCGGGCCCCCAAACCAUCCAAAGAGCCCUCCCUGUUUCCUCUUCCGGUUUCAAGACCAUUGGGGGAAACGGUCUUGCCCUUCCUCUGCCGUAGCCUUCCUCAGCAGAACACACCACCUGGGGGCUGCUGUGUCUUGUUUGCUUUUAAAUUUUCAAUAACUUG
rnacentral:lncRNA from 1 species